AGCGUGAAACCUUCCACAAGAUGAAUUUACUUUUAAGGGUCGUCAAAGACUAUGACGUUGAUAGGCUAUAGAUGUAAAGCUAGUAAUAGCAAAGUCGAGUAGUACUAAUUGCCCGUAAGCUUUAUUUUU
rnacentral:rRNA from 1 species